AGUCUGGUGCCAGCAGCCGCGGUAAUUCCAGCUCCAAUAGCGUAUAUUAAAGUUGUUGCGGUUAAAAAGCUCGUAGUUUGAUUUCGGCGAGCAGGGGGCGGUUCGUUAUUUGACGUAACUGCCCCAUUUGCUCGUGUUUCUUCGGCAGAACUCCCGGGGUGCUCUUCGCCGAGUGUCCCGUUGGGGGCUGCCAGGUUUACUUUGAAAAAAAUUAGAGUGCUCCAAGCAGGCUCGACACGCCUGAAUAUUUGUGCAUGGAAUAAUGGAAUAGGACGUCGUUCCUAUUUUGUUGGUUUUAGGGAAUCGACGUAAUGAUUAAUAGGGACAGCCGGGGGCAUUAGUAUUCAGACGACAGAGGUGAAAUUCUUGGACCGUCUGGCGACUCUCUGCUGCGAAAGCGUUUGCCAAGUAUGUUUUCAUUAAUCAAGAACGAAAGUUAGAGGUUCGAAGGCGAUCAGAUACCGCCCUAGUUCUAACCAUAAACGAUGCCAGCUAGCGAUCCCAGAUGUUUUUAUUGUAGGCUCUGCGGGAAGCUUCCGGGAAACCAAAGCUUUUGGGUUCCGGGGGAAGUAUGGUUGCAAAGCUGAAACUUAAAGAAAUUGACGGAAGGGCACCACCAGGCGUGGAACUUGCGGCUUAAUUUGACCCAACACUGGAAAUCUCACCAGGCCCGGACACCGUAAGGAUUGACAGAUUGGGAGCUCUUUCUCGAUUCGGUGGGUGGUGGUGCAUGGCCGUUCUUAGUUGGUGGAGUGAUUUGUCUGGUUAAUUCCGAUAACGAACGAGACUCCGUCCUGCUAAAUAGUUGUAACGUCACACGUACGUUGCAAAUUCUUCUUAGAGGGACUGGCGGCAUCUAGCCGCACGAGAUGGAGCAAUAACAGGUCUGUGAUGCCCUUAGAUGUUCUGGGCCGCACGCGUGUUACACUGAAGGGAUCAACGUGUCUUCCCUGACCGAGAGGUCCGGGUAACCCGCUGAACCCCCUUCGUGGUAGGGAUCGGAGCUUGCAAUUAUUCUCCGUGAACCAGGAAUGCCCAGUAGUGCAAGUCAUAAGCUUGCAUUGAUUACGUCCCUGCCCUUUGUACACACCGCCCGUCGCUACUACCGAUUGAACGUUUUAGAGAGGUAUUUGGACCGGGCCUCUGGUGGCUCACGCCUCCAGUGCUGCUCGGGAAGACUCC
rnacentral:rRNA from 1 species